rnacentral:misc_RNA from 1 species
AAAAAAGAUCUGGGCGGUCUUUGUGU